UCGGGAAUUUUGGGCAAUGGGCGAAAGCCUGACCCAGCAACGCCGCGUGAAGGAUGAAGUAUUUCGGUAUGUAAACUUCGAAAGAAUAGGAAGAAUAAAUGACGGUACUAUUUGUAAGGUCCGGCUAACUACGUGCCAGCAGCCGCGGUAAUACGUAGGGACCAAGCGUUGUUCGGAUUUACUGGGCGUAAAGGGCGCGUAGGCGGUGUGUCAAGUCAGUUGUGAAAUCUCCGAGCUUAACUCGGAACGGUCAACUGAUACUGUCACACUAGAGUACAGAAGGGGCAAUCGGAAUUCUUGGUGUAGCGGUGAAAUGCGUAGAUAUCAAGAGGAACACCUGAGGCGAAGGCGGGUUGCUGGGCUGAUACUGACGCUGAGGCGCGAAAGCUAGGGUAGCAAACGGGAUUAGAUACCCAAGUAGUCCCUGAGCGGGCUGGCAAGGCGCAU
rnacentral:rRNA from 1 species